GUGCGUCACUCGCCGAUCGGACGAUAAAUACCCCCUGCUCGCGAGUCGUAUGGCGCUCGCCUGUUCGACGACUGCCGUGGCAAGCAGGCAGCUGUAGCCGUGGAAGCAGGCAGCGGGCAAGACGGCCGGAUUGAACAACGAGCUCUCACACAACAACUAAAGUUUCUUGAAAGGAUCAAAAUGGAACUCUGCAGAGGUGGAGGUGGUAACAGCGAUAAAGCCUGGCUCGAGCAUGACGAUAACCCACUCCGACCAAUUUCCAAGUUCCAGGAGAGGAAGGUGGCCAUCAUGGCGGCCGAUAAGAUGCACCAGCUGCAGGUACUCCUCAUUCUCUCCGAUCUUGUAAACUUGGAACUGCAAGAGCUAGUAGCAGAGCGGCGGCGGCGUCCGAAGCAGGGCGGAUCCAAUCACCCCUGUUGUUUUCCAUGGAUGAAGUAGACCAGGAAGAAAGGAGAUGGGCGGGAUAGAUGAGUGCUCCAGGCAACAUAUUUGAAUCCACCAGUGUAUGAUGGAAAUGAAAAAAGGAAGUACCAUAUUGUAAUAUUCACAUGAAUAAGCUAAUAAAGAAGAUGCACCCUCUCUCUCU